rnacentral:rRNA from 1 species
GACGAACGCUGGCGGCGUGCUUAACACAUGCAAGUCGAACGGAAAGGCCCCCACUUUUUUGGUGGGGGUGCUCGAGUGGCGAACGGGUGAGUAACACGUGGGUGAUCUGCCCUGUACUUCGGGAUAAGCUUGGGAAACUGGGUCUAAUACCGGAUAGGACCAUGGUUUAGUGUCUCAUGGUGGAAAAAUUAUUGUUUUGGUGCAGGAUGAGCUCGCGGCCUAUCAGCUUGUUGGUGGGGUAAUGGCCUACCAAGGCGUCGACGGGUAGCCGGCCUGAGAGGGUGGACGGCCACAUUGGGACUGAGAUACGGCCCAGACUCCUACGGGAGGCAGCAGUGGGGAAUAUUGCACAAUGGGCGCAAGCCUGAUGCAGCGACGCCGCGUGGGGGAUGACGGCCUUCGGGUUGUAAACUCCUUUCGUUAGGGACGAAGCCGCACCUUUUUUGGGUGUGGUGACGGUACCUUUGUUAAGAAGCACCGGCUAACUACGUG